GCCGGUCGUCAGUCAGUCAGAGAGUCGAUUGUUUGGUUUCCCAACAAAUGGCGAACAGUGAGCCCUAUCACCGGCAACCCACACUGCAACUGACAUUGGAAUUCGCAGUUGAACAAUGCGGUUCGGCUCAACGGACAGAGAUUUGGGAUUUUCCGGCAAUGACGACUGGUUUUGUUUCGCUUGGACGGCUCUUCAGAGCAGAACAGAGAAGCAUACGGAUAUUUUUCGAACAUGGUUUUUCGUGCUGGAGGUGGUGGCGCAGUAUUAGACCAGGUUACCAACGACGCAGUUGUGUAUCGGUCCGAUCGAAUGAGCUGCAUAUUGCGCUGCAGUGGAAAUUCCAUCUCCCUAUAGGUCGAAACACGUCGGAGGAAAAUGUUCACUGGAAACAGUAGUAAGUCUUUUUAACUGCUGAAAAACAUGUAAGAAUUAUUCUUGACGUUUCGUACGGUAAAUGCUGAAUUCAACUACAACUAUGAUCAUUUGGAUGACGAUGGAACACGAACAAUGUAAUUUGUCACUUGUGGCUCAAGAAAACUUCAAUUUUCUCAUAUUUUCCUUUAAGAAGGUUUUCGUCGUUACUCAACCUCCCGAGAUAUAAUUUAAAAAAAAAACGAAGAGGCAAAAGGACCACCCAAACAACGCCGCACAAUUCAUACAAAUUUGAGAAAUGAAAAAGCUCUUCAGCCGGCCUUUCGCUUACCAUUGAGAGUUUGUUCAUAACGUUCGCUGGUCAGACCAUCACCGUCGGGCAGUAGCGGUGACGAAAGUUUGACCGGUAGUGGUGUUAAUCUGGCUGACCAACAAUAGGCGAUGGCCAUGGCGGUGUUGACGAUGAGAAACAUUGAUGAACGGACACCCUACAAUGGCCGAGGCUUUCCUUAUUAAUAGAUGGCAUCAUCAAUCAAGCUGUUUGGAAAACUCGGACAACCAUUUCACCCAGCUGGACCAAGGACUCGCACUGUCAAUUCAAUUUUGGCGUACCUAUCGAGCGUUCUACAUGUCGCGAGUAUUUGGUGUGCCUUAUCUCAGUCGUAAUAAA